CCUACGGGAGGCAGCAGUGGGGAAUAUUGCACAAUGGGCGCAAGCCUGAUGCAGCAACGCCGCGUGAGGGACGAAGGCCUUCGGGUUGUAAACCUCUUUUAGUAGGGAAGAAGCGAAAGUGACGGUACCUGCAGAAAAAGCACCGGCUAACUACGUGCCAGCAGCCGCGGUAAUACGUAGGGUGCAAGCGUUAUCCGGAAUUAUUGGGCGUAAAGAGCUCGUAGGCGGUUUGUCGCGUCUGCUGUGAAAACUGGAGGCUCAACCUCCAGCCUGCAGUGGGUACGGGCAAACUAGAGUGCGGUAGGGGAGAUUGGAAUUCCUGGUGUAGCGGUGGAAUGCGCAGAUAUCAGGAGGAACACCGAUGGCGAAGGCAGAUCUCUGGGCCGUAACUGACGCUGAGGAGCGAAAGCAUGGGGAGCGAACAGGAUUAGAUACCCUGGUAGUCCAUGCCGUAAACGUUGGGAACUAGAUGUGGGGGCCAUUCCACGGCUUCCGUGUCGCAGCUAACGCAUUAAGUUCCCCGCCUGGGGAGUACGGCCGCAAGGCUAAAACUCAAAAUGAAUUGACGG
rnacentral:rRNA from 1 species